rnacentral:lncRNA from 12 species
GGCCAGCGUGGCCAUGAUCAUGAGACUGGUAUGCUGCGGAGGGGGCAAAGGCCUCCAAAGGAGAAGCUUUUCAGGAAUUUCUCCUGGGUCCUGCCUGAGCACUCAGGAGAUGUUCGGAUGGAGACCCUGCCUCAGACAUCUCGGGAUGCUGGUCCACGGAAAACAAUCACAGCCUGGAGCUGAGUGUGUCAAAAUGAAGAACGUGGCCAACCUGCUGCCCAACCGGGGGCCCAGCUUGAGUCCCCAUAUCAGACGGAGGCAGGCUUGCCAGAGACCAGAGCGGCUGCCGAGGUCCUCGUCGGGUCAAGUCAGACAACAGGCAGGACGAAGUGGCAGUGCCCCGAGCAGAGGCUCCGGCCAAGAGCACAAGCCCAGCCUCUGCCUCCGUCUUCCCUUCCCUGGUCGUGGCCACUGCGAGAGAAAGUGCUGCAGGUUCCCAGAGUUCCAGGCACACUCAUACCCACGUGUAAGGACCCACGCAAAUGCCAAGAAAGCGGCAAAAGCCCUUCUCUGCUUCGUCACCAUUUUCGAUGCACAGAUGCAAAGUCUGUAGGACAGACACUGCCUUGCAUGUGGUGAGGCCUCUGUAAUGUUUAUUGGAAAAAAAUAAAGUCACCGUCCAUGAGAAAGCCA